rnacentral:sRNA from 1 species
GAUGCCAAGGUCAAAAGGUCUAAACCCACAUGAGCUUGCUCAUAGGUGGGUGAAAGACUUUAUGACCUGCCCCGAUAUGAGCAUAAAAGUGGGAUGUUAAUCCCGCGAUAUGCGAAUAUUGGGUAGGAGUGUGGGAGCACAUAGUGCGGAGCAAUCCGUAGGCAUC